rnacentral:miRNA from 1 species
GAGCUGGCCAGGCUGUGAGGG